UGUUUCGGCUAGGGGGUCAUCCCGACUUACCAACCCGAUGCAAACUACGAAUACCGAAGAAUGUUAUCACGGGAGACACACGGCGGGUGCUAACGUCCGUCGUGAAGAGGGAAACAACCCAGACCGCCAGCUAAGGUCCCAAAGUCACAGUUAAGUGGGAAACGAUGUGGGAAGGCACAGACAGCCAGGAUGUUGGCUUAGAAGCAGCCAUCAUUUAAAGAAAGCGUAAUAGCUCACUGGUCGAGUCGGCCUGCGCGGAAGAUGUAACGGGGCUAAACUGUGCACCGAAGCUGCGGCAGCGACACUAUGUGUUGUUGGGUAGGGGAGCGUUCUGUAAGCCUGCGAAGGUGGCCUGUGAGGGUUGCUGGAGGUAUCAGAAGUGCGAAUGCUGACAUAAGUAACGAUAAUGCGGGUGAAAAGCCCGCACGCCGGAAGACCAAGGGUUCCUGUCCAACGUUAAUCGGGGCAGGGUGAGUCGACCCCUAAGGCGAGGCCGAAAGGCGUAGUCGAUGGGAAACAGGUUAAUAUUCCUGUACUUGGUGUUACUGCGAAGGGGGGACGGAGAAGGCUAUGUUAGCCGGGCGACGGUUGUCCCGGUUUAAGCAUGUAGGCGGAGGUUCCAGGUAAAUCCGGUACCUUUUUAACGCUGAGGUGUGAUGACGAGGCACUACGGUGCUGAAGUAACAAAUGCCCUGCUUCCAGGAAAAGCCUCUAAGCAUCAGGUAACAUU
rnacentral:rRNA from 1 species